rnacentral:rRNA from 1 species
CUACGGCAGGCUUAACACAUGCAAGUCGAGGGGUAACGCGGAGUAGCAAUACUUUGGCGACGACCGGCGCACGGGUGCGUAACGCGUAUGCAACUACCUGUAACAGGGGAAUAACGGAGAGAAAUUUCCACUAAUGCCCCAUAUUGUCAUGGAUUCGCAUGUUUCUAUGACGAAAGCUUCGGUGGUUACGGAUGGGCAUGCGUGACAUUAGCUAGUUGGCGGGGCAACGGCCCACCAAGGCGACGAUGUCUAGGGGAGCUGAGAGGCUUAUCCCCCACACUGGUACUGAGACACGGACCAGACUCCUACGGGAGGCAGCAGUGAGGAAUAUUGGUCAAUGGACGGAAGUCUGAACCAGCCAUGCCGCGUGGAGGAAGAAGGUCCUAUGGGUUGUAAACUCCUUUUGUUCCGGAGUAAUAAGGUCUUUGCGAAGACCGAUGAGAGUACGGGACGAAUAAGCAUCGGCUAACUCCGUGCCAGCAGCCGCGGUAAUAC